GUCUACGGUUCUACCCGGACUUGAAAUUCAUGACAUGGCGGUUUUUUCGUCUCAAUAAGGAAAAACACACAAGUUGAUAACACGUUUGCAGCGUUUCCACUUUGUGAAACUGCGCUGAAACUGUGGGGGCAUUAUUAAUUCAUCAAAACACCUGUUGAUGGGCAUUAUUUCCACCCGUGAAACAAUGCUAACGGCACAGCUAGCGUUAGCUUUCGUUAGCUAGCUGUACCUGAAGAGUUGUUGCUAACACGUUUGACCUGGAACUCGGAGAUAGAACCCUCACAACUUCUGUUGAAAUACAUAUCAAGUGUUACAUGGAUUUACACCAUUACAAAUGUUGGAACCAACAAACUGAGCUGCGACUUCUUCGAGUCAAGUCAGCUCUGAAAAUGUGAGGAUUUGAAGAGGCGGUGCCGCUAAUGGCGGAGCUAACGGUCUCUGAACGGAAGAGCUGCUGGACAUAGAGGAGCACCAGAGUUUGAUGGGCCGUCCCAGACGCCGGUUGACAUUUUGUCCCCAGUCCGACCGGAUGCCACAUAAAAAAUUCACUCAGGCGAGAAGCCAGGAGGAAUACCCAGCUCCCCCCACCCUCAGCGUGUGCCUCUCAGUGGGGAGUGCAAGGAAGAAGAGGAGAGAGAGGCUGCAAAGAGACAAGAGCGGGGGAGUAUAAGGGGAGCAGGGCAGAGACGAGUGUUGAUGGUAUAGAGCUGCUGCAGACUUGAUAAAUUCGGCCCAAGUUUGCCAAGAGAUGAGAGAUGAUGAUAGUGAGGAGGAACUGACACACUGAGCUUCCUGAUAUACUGUAGCUACACUUCUUGUGAUCACUGCUGGAACUUUGGCACCAACCUUUAUAAAUACUCUCAGUUAUAACAUAUUCAAUUUAGUACUUAGAGAAAUCCUGGGAAUAUAUACAGUACAUUUAUAUAUUUAUAUUUUAUUAAAAGAUAAAUAUUAACAAAAAAAAGAUAAAUAUUAACAAAGGCUAUAACAUAACAACUUUUCUUUUCUUGGUUAAUGGUAGGGAACAGCAGAAUGACUAGGGUUAGCAUUAACAAUGGGGAAGGUGAUUGGCAAGUCACAGAAACAACUCAGCAGUGUAUUUGAUAGUGCUUUACACAAAGGCCAAACAUAGUUGCCGAUGCCUCACAUCCAUUACACUCAGGGUUUGAGUUUCUCCUGUCUGGGUGUCGAUUUUGGCACCCAAGAAUCAGUCGGAACAUAUAUAAGAGGCCCUUUAUUCCCUGCAAUUUUUUAAAGAUGUGCACUCUUUUAUUAUUCAUAUAAGAUAUUGCUCCUACCUGCCUAUUUGCAGUAUUGUAUCAUAUAUAUGUUGUUAAAUUGUGCGUUUUUAAUGGUGUAUUGUGUCUGUAUGUACCUUUGAUUGUUGAGAGAAGCUGAAGACAAAUUUCCGCUGAGGUGGACAAUAAAGUUAUCUACCUGCCUACCUACCUACCCACAUACCGACAUACCUACCGACCUAUCUAUCUUGCUAUCUAGCUGUCUAUGAGAGAGCGAGAAAGUGCAGCUGGUACCGGUGUAUAGAUACUGCGGAAAAUGAGUAUUCAAAACUGUUUCAAAUAUUCAGAAUUUUUUUUGUCUGUGUACCCUCUCUUGAUUGGGAGGUUGUUGUGGGUCCUUGAAUGCAUCACAGGCAGAACUCUUCUCUCUUCGGAGUCUUUAUUUUUUUCUUUGGCAGCAGUUAAUUUAGUUUGAGUCCUGGAGUGGAGAAUUGUUCAGUCAAUCAGUGUGUGGUUGGA